GACGAACGCUGGCGGCGCGCUUAACACAUGCAAGUCGAACGGAAAGGCCUGCUUUCCCUUGUGGAUUGCGGGUACUCGAGUGGCGAACGGGUGAGUACCACGUGAGUGAUCUGCCCCCAACUUGGGUAUAAGCCUGGGAAACUGGGUCUAAUUCUCGAUAGGACUGCAGGGUGGUGCCUGUGGUGGAAAACGAUUUUCUAGUGGUUGGGGAUGAGCUCGAGGCCUAUCAGCUUGUUGGUGGGGUAAUGGCCUACCAAGGCGGCGACGGGUAGCCGGCCUGGGAGGGUGGACGGCCACAUUGGGACUGAGAUACGGCCCAGACUCCUACGGGAGGCAGCAGUGGGGAAUAUUGCACAAUGGGCGGAAGCCUGAUGCAGCGACGCAGCGUGGGGGAUGACGGCCUUCGGGUGGUAAACUCCUUUCGAACGAGAGGAAGCCACCUGGUUGGAAGGGUGGUGACGGUAGUGGUAGAAGAAGCACCGGCUAACUACGUG
rnacentral:rRNA from 1 species